rnacentral:ncRNA from 1 species
CCAGAGAGUAGAAGCGUUCAGCAACGCCCACCUGCCGCCACGGCGGGUGUCAGCGGCCCGGGAAUUGCUCUUGAC